rnacentral:tRNA from 1 species
GGUAGAGCACAACACUUUUAAUGUUGGGGUCCUGGGUUCGAGCCCCAGCGGGAUCACCA